ensembl:scaRNA
CCCCCGGGUCCACGAUGCAGCUCCCGGAUGAGGCCGCAGUAUUUUCCUUAUAUGAUCGGGCCCCAUGGCUGACGGCGCCGCUGGCCCGGAGCCUGAGAGGAUUAUGAAAAUGUGUCAGGAGAAAUGGGGCCAGGGACCCGGGG